rnacentral:rRNA from 1 species
AGCGAACGCUGGCGGCAGGCUUAACACAUGCAAGUCGAGCGGACCUUUCGGGGUCAGCGGCGGACGGGUGAGUAACGCGUGGGAACGUGCCUUCCGGUUCGGAAUAACCCUGGGAAACUAGGGCUAAUACCGGAUACGCCCUUAUGGGGAAAGGUUUACUGCCGGAAGAUCGGCCCGCGUCUGAUUAGCUAGUUGGUGGGGUAACGGCCUACCAAGGCGACGAUCAGUAGCUGGUCUGAGAGGAUGAUCAGCCACACUGGGACUGAGACACGGCCCAGACUCCUACGGGAGGCAGCAGUGGGGAAUAUUGGACAAUGGGCGAAAGCCUGAUCCAGCCAUGCCGCGUGAGAGAUGAAGGCCUUAGGGGUGUAAAGCUCUUUUAUCCGGGACGAUAAUGACGGCACCGGAGGAAUAAGCCCCGGCUAACUUCG